rnacentral:rRNA from 1 species
AACGAACGCUGGCGGCAUGCCUAACACAUGCAAGUCGAACGAGACCUCCGGGUCUAGUGGCGCACGGGUGCGUAACCCCUAGGAACCUGCCCUUAAGAUCGGCAUAACUCCCCGAAAGGGAUGCUAAUACCGGAUAAUGUCUUUGGACCAAAGAUUUAUCGCCUUUGGGUGGGCUGGCGUUGGAUUAGCUGGUUGGUAGGGUAAACGCCUACCAAAGCGACCAUCCAAAGCUGGUCUGGGUGAAUGAUCAGCCACACUGGGACUGCGACCCGGCCCAGACUCCUGAGGCAGGCAUGCGGAGGGACGAAUGGACUAUGGAAGAAAGCAUGAUCCAGCCAUGCCGCGAGCGUGAUGUAGGCCUUAGGGUUCUAAGGCUUCUUUACCCGGGACCAUAAUGACAGUACCGGGAGAAUAAGCUCCGGCUAACUCCGUG